UGCAUAAUGUUUGAUUUUCUAUACUUGUGAAUGAAGCAGCCCCUUUGUUGCUGGAUUAAAGGGAGUACAAAAAAAACAUCCUGCCAACACAGAGAAGGAGGAUAGCAGCCAAAUUCUGCAGGGUCUGUACAGCCGCCCGGAUGAAUCUUCCAGUGUCAUGUGAGCUGUUCAGAAUCUGCUCCCGUCCUUACGUAACGACGGGAGCAGAUUUCCAUAGGUCGUCCUCCGCUGCUGAAACCACGCCCACAACCAACUCCGCCGGCUGGAGCUUCAGCCAUUGUUUAGAAGCGGUGACUGCUGAACAGCGAGGGGACAGUAAAAAUGAGGUUUUGCAUCGACAUUUACCCUCAUAAAAGGAUCAGUUCCCACAGAACGGACCCGGUAACUGCACACGAGUCAGCGAUCUUCCAAGCACCUGAAGCUUCAACGACACCUUCAGAAGACGCACGGUCCUUCCUUGAGCCAGCAAUAGUGCAUAAAUGUUAUUUAUAUACAACUUGUGUUUUAUUUUUUUAACAA